CCAAAAUAGGCCAGAUCUUGUUCCCAUGCCCAAGGACUUCUACACCCUCCCUGACACAGCAGGUAUCUCCCAGUGGUCAGCACAUCCCACCCUGCCCUCAGAGCACGCAGUGCCUCUCGCAGACCCUUGGCAGCAAGCAGGGACUGUGCCAAACUAGACAUUUGCUGUUCCUUCAUUGCUGGGCUUUCUAAAAUAUUUUCUCUACCCCUGCAGGUGAUGUGGGAUUUCUCACCUUCUGAAAAUCCUGUUCAUGCUGCUGCUUCAUACCACUGGUUUCCCAAGUUGGUGCUGUAACUUCCUCAUUUGCCAUGGAAGGAUUGCUAUCUCAACUCACCUGCGUUGUUUAAAAUCUGAUUACUGGUUUCAGAAAUUGAGAUUACCAUUUCUGGUCCUAUUUAAGACUGAGGGAGAAAUGAGAAAUUCUGAAAUCUUUUCAAGACUGGAAAAUAGCUUUCUACAAGUUCCCCUCAAAUGAGAUUGCAGAAAUUCUUCUUUCUCCUACCCUGGCUCUGUUACCACGCAAUUCUCUUCAUGCUUGUCUCCAAGACCAAAUCUGAGCCAGCCUGAGAUUUGUGCUAACGGUGAGUGCCUGCCUUUUUUUUUUUUUCUUUAAAUAAAACAAUUUCCUAAGGCA
rnacentral:lncRNA from 1 species